rnacentral:rRNA from 1 species
CGGUAUUAUGCCCGUGCGAAGGUAGCAUAAUCAUUAGUCUUUUAAUUGGAGGCUGGAAUGAAUGGUUGGACGAGAAAUAAACUGUCUUUGUCCUAAAAAUUGAAUUUAACUUUUAAGUGAGAGGGCUUAAAUGUAUUAAAGGGACGAUAAGACCCUGUAAAGUUUAUACAUUAAGUUAAUUAAAAAUAAUUAAGGAGAUUAAAAUUUAUUAUUGGGUAGAUGUUUAGUUGGGGCGACUAGGAUAUAAUUUAAUUAUAACUGUCUUAGAUUAAGGUCAAAGAUAUUUGAGUUUGUGAUCCUUUCUUAGGAUUCAAGAACAAGUUACUUCAGGGAUAACAGCGUAAUUUUUUUUGAGAGUUCUUAUCGACAAAAGAGUUUGCGACCUCGAUGUUGAAUUAAAAGUUUCUCUGAAGUGUAGCAAUUUCAGGAGAAGG